UCCGUAGGCGGGCUAAUAAGUCAGGGGUGAAAUCCCACAGCUUAACUGUGGAACUGCCUUUGAUACUGUUAGUCUUGAGUUAUAUGGAAGUAGAUAGAAUGUGUAGUGUAGCGGUGAAAUGCAUAGAUAUUACACAGAAUACCGAUUGCGAAGGCAGUCUACUACGUAUAUACUGACGCCAAUGGACGAAAGCGUGGGGAGCGAACAGGAUUAGAUACCCUGGUAGUCC
rnacentral:rRNA from 1 species